GCCGCAUAGCAUAUACAUCACCUCGACCGGAGAGUUGGGAAAACUCCCCCAAGCCUUCCCCUCCGGAUGACCUGAGAGCUGCGAAGGUCCCGAAAGCCAACAUUCUAGCCAACCUGGCCAACAUGAUACACAACCAGUAGCGAACUGGAAUCAUGCUUGUCCUGCAGCAGCAGCAGCAGCAGCAGCAGCAGCAGCAGCCACAUCACUGCUGCUGUAGGCAGCGGCAGUGAAGCAGGGGGAGCCUGCUCUAGAGCACUUGUUACCACCGCUAUCCCGCGAAUGUCAAUAUGACAAUAUCAAAGGCUUCUGGUGUGAGAUAUGUGUUACUGAGUACUUUGGAAAGCCAGGAUAGCAGAGACCGCGUACUUGCGUUAAGGUCACCGCUGCUGCAGCAGCCGACGCGGCUCUUAGCGUUUACAUAUCGCCGCAGUCUGCAUCUUUCCUCUGAAGAGCUCAUUUCAGCGCGAUUUUGCGACGAGAAGAGUGUUUCAGCAAAACCUUUUCAGAUUGUCCUUCCUCUUUGCGUUUUUUGGCACAUUGCCUCUGAAUCUGUUCGUCUGUCUCCGUACAGCUGAGAGAGGAAAAUGGGAAAAUGGUAAAAAAUGAAAAGACUCUCCAUUAAUUUUUUUGUUUCUUGCAAAGGUAAUUGCC
rnacentral:lncRNA from 1 species